AAUCCAUAGGUUAAUGAGGCGAACCGGGGGAACUGAAACAUCUAAGUACCCCGAGGAAAAGAAAUCAACCGAGAUUCCCCCAGUAGCGGCGAGCGAACGGGGAGGAGCCCAGAGCCUGAAUCAGCAUGUGUGUUAGUGGAAGCGUCUGGAAAGGCGCGCGAUACAGGGUGACAGCCCCGUACACAAAAGCGCAUGUGCUGUGAGCUCGAUGAGUAGGGCGGGACACGUGGUAUCCUGUCUGAAUAUGGGGGGACCAUCCUCCAAGGCUAAAUACUCCUGACUGACCGAUAGUGAACCAGUACCGUGAGGGAAAGGCGAAAAGAACCCCGGCGAGGGGAGUGAAAAAGAACCUGAAACCGUGUACGUACAAGCAGUGGGAGCACAGGUUUACCUGUGUGACUGCGUACCUUUUGUAUAAUGGGUCAGCGACUUAUAUUCUGUAGCAAGGUUAACCGAAUAGGGGAGCCGUAGGGAAACCGAGUCUUAACCGGGCGUUAAGUUGCAGGGUAUAGAC
rnacentral:rRNA from 1 species